UGGUGAGAUAGAGGUGCGGCUAUUAAGAGUAUGCAUUCAUGAGCAGGCCGGCGAUGAAGGGUGCAGAAAGGAAUAUCCGCCGAAGCAGCAGGUCAUGGCCAAGGGCCUUCUGCUGGUCUUGCCGCUAAAUAAGGGUAAGACUGUCAUCCGAGCAAAUUCGGGUGGAGCGCUAUCUUGCAC
rnacentral:ncRNA from 2 species